ACUUUCUCACAGGUAGACUGAAGCUACAUUCUGAAGCUACAGGCUGAGAAGAGCAGGUAAUUCGGCAGCAGGUUAUCAUCAUCGUCAACAUCAUCGUCACCAUGAAGAUGCUGACUGUGUGCGUACUUCUUUGUGCCAUGAUGGCUCUGGUUACAGCUCAAUCGGGUCCAGAAGAACAGACAGACCUGGUUAAGAGGACUUGUCGUUGUCCCUGUGGUUGGACUCGGAUCGGUGGCCGCUGUGUCCGCAACACUGCAUACUGUAUCCGUUGGGGUUUUGUUGAGAAAUAGGGUUGCAGGUGCUGGGAUGACGACUACUGCCAGAAAAAAAACCCGUUCGUCUGUGUCAGGAGACGCUGAUGAUUCCUGACAUACCACCGCACAACAGCACAAACACUGGCAAAAGCAACUAUCUUUGUGCUGAUCAGUCUAAUAUGACGUAGAGGCUCUAUAUCUCAUAUCAUUUCAUAAAAUUAUUUUAUUUCUAUCGCUGUAACGCUACUGAAGGAACGAAGAGACAAGUGAUGUGAACAGCAGCUGGAUUGUCUCUCAGGCCUUGUGCCUUUAAUGAGAGCGGAUUGAAUGUGUUUUGUAAAGAAUGCUUUUAGCACCUUUUUCUUUCAAUUGAACAAGAGCUGCAACUAAUGUUUAUUUUCAUUAUCCAUUGAUCUGUCAAUUGUUUUAUAAAUUAAUCAAUAAGUCAUUUGCUCGAUUGAAUGCCAGAAAAUGGUGGAAAAUGUUUCUAGCGGGCAAAGAUACAUCUUCAAAUGACUUGUUUGGUCCUGACUAACAAUAAACAACCCAAAGAUACCUAACCUUUGUUUUUUACUAUCAUAGAG